GGGAGUGGGGGCUUCUGCGCUGGCAUUGGCCAGAGGAAAGUCCGGGCACCAGGGGGUAGGCGGUCCUCCGCAAGGGGGAGCAGGCUACCGCAAGGUCGCCUGACGGAUAGGGCCACAGAAACCAUACCACCCCAUUGGGGUAAGGGUGAAACCGGAGGGUAAGAGCCUCCGCUAGGGUAACCCCCCGCCGGUGCAAGGCCAAACAGCCGGCAAUGACCACCCCCAUAGCCGGCGGGUAGGCCGCUCAGAUAAAUGCAGAAGUAGACACAGAACCCGGCUUACUACCCGCUCCCCACG
rnacentral:RNase_P_RNA from 1 species